rnacentral:lncRNA from 1 species
ACUGGUGACCCUCACCACAUUGUUGUCCCCUGCCUUGGUGCAGACUGCCAUCCUCUGUCCCUCAGCUCAACACACCCCAAGUUUCACACAUGCCAUCCAUCAAUCUAUGGAGACACCACACUUUUCUGUGUCUCCAGUCAUCUCUCAAGGAAAGGACUAUGAUUGGCCAGGUUGGGUGAGGUCCCAGGGGUAUCACCCAGAGGGGCUCUGCCAUACCAACUAGAAGAAAUGGGUGAGAGUAAGGGCUUCAGGGGCAAGGCGACCAUUUUCAGGAACUGAGUGUUUCUGAGCAGCCAAACAAUGGUUAACUACAAAUUUCAC